GACGAACGCUGGCGGCGUGCUUAACACAUGCAAGUCGAACGCUGAAGCUCAGCUUUUGUUGGGUGGAUGAGUGGCGAACGGGUGAGUAACACGUGAGUAACCUGCCCCCUUCUUUGGGAUAACGCCCGGAAACGGGUGCUAAUACUGGAUAUUCACUGAUCUUCGCAUGGGGGUUGGUGGAAAGGGUUUUUUCUGGUGGGGGAUGGGCUCGUGGCCUAUCAGCUUGUUGGUGGGGUGAUGGCCUACCAAGGCUUUGACGGGUAGCCGGCCUGAGAGGGUGACCGGUCACAUUGGGACUGAGAUACGGCCCAGACUCCUACGGGAGGCAGCAGUGGGGAAUAUUGCACAAUGGGCGAAAGCCUGAUGCAGCGACGCCGCGUGAGGGAUGGAGGCCUUCGGGUUGUAAACCUCUUUCGCUCAUGGUCAAGCCGCAACAAAGGUUGUGGUGAGGGUAGUGGGUAAAGAAGCGCCGGCUAACUACGUGCCAGCAGCCGCGGUAAUACGUAGGGCGCGAGCGUUGUCCGGAAUUAUUGGGCGUAAAGGGCUUGUAGGCGGUUGGUCGCGUCUGCCGUGAAAUCCUCUGGCUUAACUGGGGGCGUGCGGUGGGUACGGGCUGACUUGAGUGCGGUAGGGGAGACUGGAACUCCUGGUGUAGCGGUGGAAUGCGCAGAUAUCAGGAAGAACACCGGUGGCGAAGGCGGGUCUCUGGGCCGUUACUGACGCUGAGGAGCGAAAGCGUGGGGAGCGAACAGG
rnacentral:rRNA from 1 species